AGAGCGAACGCUGGCGGCAGGCCUAAUACAUGCAAGUCGAACGGAUCCUUCGGGAUUAGUGGCGGACGGGUGAGUAACACGUGGGAACGUACCCUUUGGUUCGGAACAACUCAGGGAAACUUGAGCUAAUACCGAAUGUGCCCUUCGGGGAAAAGAUUUAUCGCCAUUGGAGCGGCCCGCGUCUGAUUAGCUAGUUGGUAGGGUAAAGGCCUACCAAGGCUACGAUCAGUAGCUGGUCUGAGAGGAUGAUCAGCCACACUGGGACUGAGACACGGCCCAGACUCCUACGGGAGGCAGCAGUAGGGAAUCUUGCGCAAUGGGCGAAAGCCUGACGCAGCCAUGCCGCGUGAAUGAUGAAGGUCUUAGGAUUGUAAAAUUCUUUCAGCGGGGACGAUAAUGGACGGUACCCGCAGAAGAACGCCCCGGCUAACUUCGUGCCAGCAGCCGC
rnacentral:rRNA from 1 species